rnacentral:rRNA from 1 species
GUAAACUAUAGCAAGCAAUCCUGCGGGCGGCUUCGGCUGCUCGUGGGUAACAUGGAUAACCCUGGUAAUUCUGAGGCUAAUACAAGAACGUACUCCCUGGCUGACCGGCAACGGAAGGCUGGGGAGCGUGCAACGUAUCGUAGGGAUAAACCGGGAAUGGGUGCACGCUUGGACCGCGCUAAAGACAGAUCUCGGCGAGCCUUCGGGUGAGCCUUGGCCUGAGCGGCUCUUGCUGUGUGCUUCUGACCUAUCAACUAGACGGCAGCGUAAGGGACAUGCUAUGGUUACAACGGGUACAGAGGAUUAGGGUUCGAUCCUGGAGAGUGGGCCUGAGAGAUU